UACGUAGGUGGCAAGCGUUGUCCGGAGUUAUUGGGCGUAAAGCGCGCGCAGGCGGUUCGGUAAGUCUAUGGUGAAAGCGCCCGGCUCAACUGGGCGAGUGCCGUAGAUACUGCCAAGCUGGAGGGGAGCAGAGGCGAGUGGUAUUCCGGGUGUAGUGGUGAAAUGCGUAGAGAUCCGGAGGAACACCAGUGGCGAAGGCGGCUCGCUGGGCUCUACCUGACGCUGAGGCGCGAAAGCGUGGGGAGCGAACCGG
rnacentral:rRNA from 1 species